rnacentral:rRNA from 1 species
AUUGAACGCUAGCGGCAGGCCUAACACAUGCAAGUCGAGCGGGGUUUUCGGACCUAGCGGCGGACGGGUGAGUAAUGCGUAGGAAGCUACCCGAUAGAGGGGGAUACCAGUUGGAAACGACUGUUAAUACCGCAUAAUGUCUACGGACCAAAGUGUGGGACCUUCGGGCCACAUGCUAUCGGAUGCGCCUACGUGGGAUCAGCUAGUUGGUGGGGUAACGGCUCACCAAGGCGACGAUCCCUAGCUGGUUUGAGAGGAUGAUCAGCCACACUGGAACUGAGACACGGUCCAGACUCCUACGGGAGGCAGCAGUGGGGAAUAUUGGACAAUGGGCGCAAGCCUGAUCCAGCCAUGCCGCGUGUGUGAAGAAGGCCUUCGGGUUGUAAAGCACUUUCAGUAGGGAGGAAGGGUGUUGUGUUAAUAGCACAGCAUUUUGACGUUACCUACAGAAGAAGCACCGGCUAACUCUGUGCCAGCAGCCGCCGUAA